rnacentral:rRNA from 1 species
CACGUAGGGUGCGAGCGUUGUCCGGAAUUAUUGGGCGUAAAGAGCUCGUAGGCGGUCCGUCACGUCGGCUGUGAAAACCUGGGGCUCAACCCCGGGCCUGCAGCCGAUACGGGCGGACUAGAAUUCGGUAGGGGAGACUGGAAUUCCUGGUGUAGCGGUGAAAUGCGCAGAUAUCAGGAGGAACACCGGUGGCGAAGGCGGGUCUCUGGGCCGAUAUUGACGCUGAGGAGCGAAAGCGUGGGGAGCGAACAGG